rnacentral:rRNA from 1 species
GGAUUCCCUUAGUAACUGCGAGUGAAGCGGGAAAAGCUCAAAUUUAAAAUCUGGCAGUGUUUGUAGCUGUCCGAGUUGUAACCUAGAGAAGUGAUGCCGGUGCUGGACCAUAUAUAAGUCUCCUGGGAUGGAGCGUCACAGAGGGUGAGAAUCCCGUGUUUGAUAUGGACUACCAGUACAUUGUGGUAUGCUCUCAAAGAGUUGAGUUGUUUGGGAAUGCAGCUCUAAAUGGGUGGUAAAUUCCAUCUAAAGCUAAAUAUUGGCGAGAGACCGAUAGCGAACAAGUACCGUGAGGGAAAGAUGAAAAGAACUUUGGAAAGAGAGUUAAACAGUAUGUGAAAUUGUUGAAAGGGAAACGUUUGAAGUCAGUCACGUUGGUCAGGGAUCAAGCCAGUUGAAUUGCUGGGUGCAUUUUCUGAUCAAUGGGUCAACAUCAGUUUUGAUUGCUGGAGAAAAGUCGAGGGAAUGUGGCACCUUUUGGUGUGUUUAUAGCCCUUGGUUGUAUGCAGCGGUUGGGACUGAAGAAAGCAGUGCGCCAGUUGGCCGGGUUUCGAUCACGUUCGCACUUAGGAUGUUGGCUUAAUGGCUUUUAACCAACCCUCCUGGAACAACGAACCAAGAAUCCUAACUGGCUGGCAGUGGUUGGGGUGGAAAACCCUUUCGCCGUAAUGAAAGUUGAAGGUGAAGAUCCUGAAAUCAGAA